UACGGGGGGGGCAAGCGUUGUUCGGAAUUAUUGGGCGUAAAGAGCUCGUAGGCGGUGGGUCGCGUCGGCCGUGAAAACCUGCAGCUUAACUGUGGGCUUGCGGUCGAUACGGGCAUCACUGGAGUUCGGCAGGGGAGACUGGAAUUCCUGGUGUAGCGGUGAAAUGCGCAGAUAUCAGGAGGAACACCGGUGGCGAAGGCGGGUCUCUGGGCCGAUACUGACGCUGAGGAGCGAAAGCGUGGGGAGCGAACAGG
rnacentral:rRNA from 1 species